AUACGGAGGAUGCGAGCGUUAUCCGGAUUUAUUGGGUUUAAAGGGAGCGUAGGCGGGAGCUUAAGUCAGCGGUUAAAUGGUGCGGCUCAACCGUGCCCUGCCGUUGAAACUGGGUUUCUUGAGAGUGCAAGAGGCGGAUGGAAUUCCUGGUGUAGCGGUGAAAUGCUUAGAUAUCAUGAAGAACUCCGAUUGCGAAGGCAGUCCGCUGGGGCACGUCUGACGCUGAUGCUCGAAGGUGCGGGAAUCAAACAGGAUUAGAUACCCUGGUAGUCCGCACGGUAAACGAUGAUUACCCGCUGUCGGCGGCAGACAGUCGGCGGCCAAGCGAAAGCGAUAAGUAAUCCACCUGGGGAGUACGCCGGCAACGGUGAAACUCAAAGGAAUUGACGGG
rnacentral:rRNA from 1 species